UGCAUAUCCAAAAAGCGGAGGAAAAGAAACCAACAGGGAUUGCCUCAGUAACGGCGAGUGAAGCGGCAACAGCUCAAAUUUGAAAUCUGGCCCUUUCAGGGUCCGAGUUGUAAUUUGUAGAGGAUGCUUCGGCGAGAGCUCCCGUCUAAGUUCCCUGGAACGGGACGUCAUAGAGGGUGAGAAUCCCGUAUGUGAUGGGUUGCUCGAGCCAUGUGAAGCUCCUUCGACGAGUCGAGUUGUUUGGGAAUGCAGCUCUAAAUGGGAGGUAAAUUUCUUCUAAAGCUAAAUACCGGCCAGAGACCGAUAGCGCACAAGUAGAGUGAUCGAAAGAUGAAAAGCACUUUGGAAAGAGAGUUAAAAAGUACGUGAAAUUGUUGAAAGGGAAGCGCUUGCAACCAGACUUGUCCGCAGUUGUUCAGCCGGUCUCCUGACCGGCGUACUCUUCUGCGGCCAGGCCAGCAUCAGUUCGGGCGGUUGGAUAAAGGCCUCGGGAAUGUGGCUCUCUUCGGGGAGUGUUAUAGCCCGGGGCGGAAUGCAGCCAGCCUGGACUGAGGAUCUCGCUUCGGCAAGGAUGCUGGCGUAAUGGUUGUAAGCGGCCCGUCUUGAACCACGGACCCAA
rnacentral:rRNA from 1 species